rnacentral:rRNA from 1 species
CGCGUAGGCGGGUUCUCAAGUCAGGGGUGAAAUCUUUCGGCUUAACCGGAAAAGUGCCCCUGAUACUGAGAGUCUCGAGGGAGGUAGGGGCAUGUGGAACUAAUGGUGGAGCGGUGAAAUGCGUAGAUAUCAUUAGGAACGCCGGUGGCGAAAGCGACGUGCUGGACCUCUUCUGACGCUGAGGCGCGAAAGCUAGGGGAGCAAACG